AGAGUUUGAUUCUGGCUCAGGAUGAACGCUGGCGGCGUGCCUAACACAUGCAAGUCGAGCGAUUCUCUUCGGAGAAGAGCGUCGGACGGGUGAGUAACGCGUGGGUAACCUGCCCUGUACACACGGAUAACAUACCGAAAGGUAUGCUAAUACGAGAUAAUAUACUUUUAUCGCAUGGUAGAAGUAUCAAAGCUCCGGCGGUACAGGAUGGACCCGCGUCUGAUUAGCUAGUUGGUAAGGUAACGGCUUACCAAGGCGACGAUCAGUAGCCGACCUGAGAGGGUGAUCGGCCACAUUGGAACUGAGACACGGUCCAAACUCCUACGGGAGACAGCAGUGGGGAAUAUUGCACAAUGGGCGAAAGCCUGAUGCAGCAACGCCGCGUGAGCGAUGAAGGCCUUCGGGUCGUAAAGCUCUGUCCUCAAGGAAGAUAAUGACGGUACUUGAGGAGGAAGCCCCGGCUAACUACGUGCCAGCAGCCGCGGUAAUACGUAGGGGGCUAGCGUUAUCCGGAAUUACUGGGCGUAAAGGGUGCGUAGGUGGUUUCUUAAGUCAGAGGUGAAAGGCUACGGCUCAACCGUAGUAAGCCUUUGAAACUGGGAAACUUGGGUGCAGGAGAGGAGAGUGGAAUUCCUAGUGUAGCGGUGAAAUGCGUAGAUAUUAGGAGGAACACCAGUGGCGAAGGCGGCCUACUGGGCACCAACUGACGCUGAGGCUCGAAAGCAUGGGUAGCAAACAGGAUUAGAUACCCUGGUAGUCCAUGCCGUAAACGAUGAUUACUAGGUGUUGGAGGAUUGACCCCUUCAGUGCCGCAGUUAACACAAUAAGUAAUCCACCUGGGGAGUACGACCGCAAGGUUGAAACUCAAAGGAAUUGACGGGGGCCCGUACAAGCAGUGGAGUAUGUGGUUUAAUUCGAAGCAACGCGAAGAACCUUACCAGGUCUUGACAUCCGAUGCAUAGUGCAGAGAUGCAUGAAGUCCUUCGGGACAUCGAGACAGGUGGUGCAUGGUUGUCGUCAGCUCGUGUCGUGAGAUGUUGGGUUAAGUCCCGCAACGAGCGCAACCCUUAUCGUCAGUUACUACGCAAGAGGACUCUGGCGAGACUGCCGUUGACAAAACGGAGGAAGGUGGGGAUGACGUCAAAUCAUCAUGCCCCUUAUGACCUGGGCUACACACGUACUACAAUGGCGUUAAACAAAGAGAAGCGAGACCGCGAGGUGGAGCAAAACUCAUAAACAACGUCCCAGUUCAGAUUGCAGGCUGCAACUCGCCUGCAUGAAGUCGGAGUUGCUAGUAAUCGCAGAUCAGCAUGCAGCGGUGAUUAAGGGCCCGGGCCUUGCACACACCGCCCGUCA
rnacentral:rRNA from 1 species